UUUGCUUGUAGGUUUUAAAAAGCCUUUAUAGAUACAGGGUAUUCUUAAAUAUGUAGACCAUCUUUACGAUACGAAGAAGUUAGUUUUCACGUUGUCAAAAUAUUGAUUUUUCCAAAAAUAAGCUUGACCUAAAUCCCUUAGUCUCCAGCAUUUGUAAGAAAGUAGUUUAAAUUUCAUACUAAGGUACUUUACACGAUUUUAAAUCUUGGUAAUUGUGUUAAUAUGAGGGCAACUGGUGAACUCUUUUAAUGCUGGCUGACUGGCUUUUCCUCUAGUCUUCCUACGCUGCCAGACAUACCAUGCAAUGCCUGCCUCGGCCCCAGCUUGCUGGCACGGAGGGGUUCGAGACACUUGCAAUAUCACUUCCCGUCGGCCACCUCGCGCUCGGUGCGAGUGUAUAUACGUUUUAAAAAUACAAUACUGGAAAAGGCAGGAACUGUACCAACAAAUGGGGUAUUUUUAGGGGGGAGGGGGUUCAGUUCAACUUAAAUAUAGUAUUUUGCCAGUAAUUUUGUGCUAAAUUAAUGCUGUACUGUAUAAUAGGUAAAUGAUUAAAUUUGAACAGUAACUAUUGUGUACCGAUCAUAGUUAAUGUUAGUGAUCAAAUAUUACAGGUUAUACCUACUAAUUGUGCUGUGAGGGUUGUUCUCUGAAUUGUUGUUAUACAAGUUGAUUUGUUCUGAUAUAAGUGGAUAUUUGGACUUGAUAUAAGUAUAAUUUGUCUAUAAAGGUUGACGGUUUAAUGACUUAUUUCAGAUUUGAGUGGGAGGUGGAUGACCUUUGUAGGGUAUUUGACCUUGGCUGAAGCCUUUAUAUACAAUAUACAGAAGUGUGUGGGAGGUGGAAGAGCAUUCUUGGCUAUUUGACAUUGGCUGAAGUCUUAUAAAGUGUAGAAGAAGAAGAAGAAGAAGAAG
rnacentral:lncRNA from 1 species